CUCUUAUCCUGAGCCGGUGGAGGGACAGGCCCUAUGAAACCCGGCAACCUGCUUUACAGGAAUUUUCCUGGGCAAAGGUGCCAAACCUGACGCAAGGCGUUAGCCUUGAACGAUAAGAG
rfam:Bacillus sp. B-jedd genome assembly, contig: CONTIG000001